AACUAUCCAUGUGGCUGAGAGCCCUCACAGCCCAGGCACAACGACGCAAUUAUCAGGGGCGCGCUCUACCACUGAGCUAAUAGCCCGUCGUGCGGGCCUUCCUUUGGGAGGCCUGCUACGCCAAAAGCGAGAAAAACUCCAUCCCUUUCCUUUUGACAUUCCCAUGCCGUCACACCACACGGGGGGGACAUGGGGACGUCAAAAAGGGGAUCCUAUCACUAUCAACUAAUUUG
rnacentral:lncRNA from 1 species